GUGUUCUCUCUGAAUGAUGGAAUUAGCAUUCAUCAUAUGAUGACUCUAUUAAACUAUCUGAUGGUGAUCAGAUUGAUCGAGCCAUCCUCGAGCCUGAUCAUUUGUUAGUUAGAAUCAUUGAGUAGGUUCAUAUUAAUGGUUGGACCUAACCGAAACUUUCAAUGGAGGCCCAUCACCUACUGAAAUAAAACCUGGGGUGAAAUUAAAUAC
rnacentral:lncRNA from 1 species